GUGAGCGUAUGAGAAUCGGGGGGAGUGAAGAGAUGGCCUGGCUGCAGAUAUGUGAGCCGACGGAGAAGGAUAAAGGAAAAUACACUUUUGAGAUUUUUGAUGGCAAAGAUAACCAUCAACGCUCCCUCGACCUGUCCGGACAAGAUCGGGGCAGGUUGAUUGGCGGCUUGCCUGACGUGGUGACCAUCAUGGAGGGGAAGACCUUGAAUCUAACCUGCACGGUGUUUGGAAACCCUGACCCCGAAGUGGUUUGGUUCAAGAACGACCAGGACAUCCAGCUCAGUGAGCACUUCUCAGUGAAGGUGGAGCAGGCCAAGUACGUCAGCAUGACCAUCAAAGGCGUGACCUCCGAGGACUCGGGCAAGUACAGCAUCAACAUCAAGAACAAGUAUGGCGGGGAGAAGAUUGACGUGACGGUGAGCGUGUACAAAUACGGGGAGAAGAUCCCAGACAUGGCCCCGCCCCAGCAAGCCAAGCCCAAGCUCAUCCCGGCGUCUGCCUCAGCGCCAGGCCAGUGAAGGCGUUUUCCUAGCCUGGAGAUGGGAAAAUAUGCUUGGCAGAGACAGGAAUGCUGUGUGCUUGUUCCAAAGGAGCGGCCGGCGUCCCAGUGGCGUCCUGUAUGGGCUGAUAGUUGAUCACACAUUGUGCUUUUGAUUUUUGCAUUUGGUGAUGAAUAUUUUAUACCCGUCUAAGGGAGAAAGCUAAUGUUUUCCACAAGACUGAACAACGUGUAUUUACACGAGGGUAGAUGGCAGAUGCCUGACAGAAUGGGUUGGCAGACAACACACUAGUGUUUUCACGGGUGUGGGCACAUGGGCGUGGCACCCGGACGUGUGCAGCAUAUGGCGGUCUGUGUGAAGCUACCGUGCUUCUCUUUGGGGGCCGCGAGAUCUAGCAUCUCUGAAAUCCUGGCUGUGGAGCCUUUGAAGCAUGUGUUACCUGGUUAAGCUUGUUUUCUCUUGCUUUAGGCAA
rnacentral:sRNA from 1 species